UACAGAGGGGGCAAGCGUUGUUCGGAAUUACUGGGCGUAAAGGGCGCGUAGGCGGCCUGUUAAGUCGAACGUGAAAUCCCUGGGCUCAACCCAGGAACUGCGUCCGAUACUGGCAGGCUUGAAUCCGGGAGAGGGAUGUGGAAUUCCAGGUGUAGCGGUGAAAUGCGUAGAUAUCUGGAGGAACACCGGUGGCGAAGGCGGCAUCCUGGACCGGUAUUGACGCUGAGGCGCGAAGGCCAGGGGAGCAAACGGG
rnacentral:rRNA from 1 species